UCCUCCCUGUGACCCGGGCGUGCACCUCGCUGCCUGAUGUGGGCGCAGGGAAGGCGGGGGGCCCCCAGACCAGCCCUCCUUCCUGCCCCCACAUCCGGGGGCGUCGCUGAGCUCACGCCUCCGGUCGCCUGCAGCGUUUGCAUGUUGAGAAGCGAUGAGGUCCUGCCUGCCGUACCUGGUGCUCCUGUGGGGCGCCCUCGGGGUCGCCGACGCCGCCAAGAUCAUCGUGGUGCCGCCCAUCAUGUUUGAGAGCCACAUGUACAUCUUCAAGACGCUGGCCGCCGCCCUGCACGCGCGGGGCCACCGCACCGUGUUCCU